rnacentral:rRNA from 1 species
AACGUAGGACACAAGCGUUAUCCGGAGUUACUGGGCGUAAAGGGCUCGUAGGCGGCCAACUAAGUCAUACGUGAAAUCCCUCAGCUUAACUGGGGAACUGCGUGUGAUACUGGAUGGCUUGGAUUUGGGAGAGGGAUGCGGAAUUCCAGGUGUAGCAGAGAAAUGCGUAGAUAUCGGGAGGAAUACCGAUGGCGAAGGCAGGUCUCUGGGCUGACACUGACGCUCAUGCACGAAAGCGUGGGGAGCAAACAGG